UUUUCUUGCCUAAUUGUUCUGGCUAUGACUUUUCAGUACUAUGUUGAAUAACAUUUAAAAUUUGACAUAAAAAGCAAAGUGGCCCCAAGAAAGCGGUUUGAAACUAAAUGUUGAGCACUCGAUGAGACCAUGGGAACAACUUCCUCCUUUUUAUGUAGCCCUAUGUGGGUAAUGUAGGCUUUAGAAGCAAUCCCAACUUACUAUUGAUUGCUGUGUCACAAGCCACCUCAAAACUUAAGAGGCUUAAACAAUAAUCACUCUGUCAUGGUUUCUAUGGGUCAGGAAUUUGGGAAAGGCUCUCCUUGGCAAUUCUAAUGCAGGGUGUCUGAUGCACUUCCAGUUAGUACCUGGAGCUGGAAUAGCAGGAGGCUGGAAUACUAGCGACUGGCCAGGCACCUCUCUCUGCUUGUAGUUUCAGGGCCUCUCCAUGUAGGUUGGUUUGGGCUUCCUCACAGCAUGUCAGACUCAGGGUGAUGCUCAAGGACUACCAGAGCUUGUGUUCCAACAAAUCAGCUGGCAAGCUGCAUUGCCUGUUAUGACCUAGCCUUGGAAGUCACAUGGCAUUACUUUUGUCAUAUUAUCCAGUCACCUCUUGAUCUGAAGGAUGUCAGAGACUUUACUGACAUUUUACAACUGUCACAUUCACCUUAAGAAGCCCAUUUGGUAUGGAAGGCAAGACCAGUCCAGAUGGCACCAUCAGAAUAACACCAAAAGACAUAACUGCAGUGGGAGUGUUGGUGGACUUUCCUUCUUGGCAAUGGCAAGACUACCCCCUCCAGAGUGUGGUAUUAACAGGAGUUUAUGUCAAUUUCCAACUUGGAAAUAUCAGGUGGUACAUAUGAAUCAAACUCUUGGUUGAAGAGCUAAACUCACUAUAACUGGGAAGGCUAACAGCUAAAUUAUGCUCACAUGAACCAAGAGACUUGCAACCUUUAUUUCAAGCUUUUUUCGAAAACCUGCGAACACAUUUCACACUAAAAGAGUUAUUAGCAGCUGAGAACCUGUCCUGGCUUUGGAAAUGGAUUUGACUCAAUCUUGGAAUACAAGCUGUGCCAAGAAGCACCAUGG